GACGAACGCUGGCGGCGUGCUUAACACAUGCAAGUCGAACGAAGAGCGAUGGAAGCUUGCUUCUAUCAAUCUUAGUGGCGCACGGGUGAGUAACGCGUAAUCAACCUGCCCUUCAGAGGGGGACAACAGUUGGAAACGACUGCUAAUACCGCAUACGAUCUAAUCUCGGCAUCGAGGAUAGAUGAAAGGUGGCCUCUACAUGUAAGCUAUCACUGAAGGAGGGGAUUGCGUCUGAUUAGCUAGUUGGAGGGGUAACGGCCCACCAAGGCGAUGAUCAGUAGCCGGUCUGAGAGGAUGAACGGCCACAUUGGGACUGAGACACGGCCCAGACUCCUACGGGAGGCAGCAGUGGGGAAUCUUCCGCAAUGGACGAAAGUCUGACGGAGCAACGCCGCGUGAGUGAUGACGGCCUUCGGGUUGUAAAGCUCUGCUAAUCGGGACGAAAGGCCUUCUUGCGAAUAGUGAGAAGGAUUGACGGUACCGGAAUAGAAAGCCACGGCUAACUACGUG
rnacentral:rRNA from 1 species